rnacentral:rRNA from 1 species
GGCUCAGGAUGAACGCUAGCUACAGGCUUAACNCAUGCAAGUCGAGGGCAGCAGGGAUUUUAGCUUGCUAAAUCCGCUGGCGACCGGCGCACGGGUGCGUAACGCGUAUCCAACCUUCCCGUUACUCAGGGAUAGCCUUCCGAAAGGGAGAUUAAUACCUGAUGGUGUUUGAAUUCCGCAUGUUAUUCAAACUAAAGAUUUUAUCGGUAACGGAUGGGGAUGCGUGACAUUAGAUAGUAGGCGGGGUAACGGCCCACCUAGUCUACGAUGUCUAGGGGUUCUGAGAGGAAGGUCCCCCACACUGGAACUGAGACACGGUCCAGACUCCUACGGGAGGCAGCAGUGAGGAAUAUUGGUCAAUGGCCGGGAGGCUGAACCAGCCAAGUAGCGUGAAGGAUGAAGGUUCUAUGGAUUGUAAACUUCUUUUAUACGGGAAUAACACCAUCUACGUGUAGAUGUCUGCAUGUACCGUAUGAAUAAGCAUCGGCUAACUCCGUG